rnacentral:rRNA from 1 species
GGAAUUUUGGACAAUGGGCGCAAGCCUGAUCCAGCCAUGCCGCGUGCGGGAAGAAGGCCUUCGGGUUGUAAACCGCUUUUGUCAGGGAAGAAACGCACCGAGCUAAUACCUCGAAGUACUGACGGUAACUGAAGACUAAGAACCGGCUAACUACGUGCCAGCAGCCGCGGUAAUACGUAGGUUGCAAGCGUUAAUCGGCAUUACUGGGCGUAAAGCGUGCGCAGUCGGUCAUGCAAGACAGAUGUGAAAUCCCCGGGCUCAACCUGGGAACUGCAUUUGUGACUGCAUGGCUGGAGUGCGGCAGAGGGGGAUGGAAUUCCGCGUGUAGCAGUGAAAUGCGUAGAUAUGCGGAGGAACACCGAUGGCGAAGGCAAUCCCCUGGGCCUGCACUGACGCUCAUGCACGAAAGCGUGGGGAGCAAAC